rnacentral:lncRNA from 1 species
GUUUUGAUGUUAUAUUGGUUAUUCUCAUCGGAUUUUGUCUAAUGCUUAGUCAGUUGCUGUGUGUGUUACAUUUUAAUGUUGUGUCGUUGUUCUCCUCUGAUAUUUAAUGCGUUUCCCUCAGUUUUAGUUUGUUGCCCCGAUUUUGUUUUUUGUCCAUAGAUUUAUGAGUUUUGAACAGCGGUAUACUACUGUUGCCUUUAUUUA